rnacentral:rRNA from 1 species
AGCUCCAAUAGCGUAUAUUAAAGUUGUUGCAGUUAAAAAGCUCGUAGCUGGCUCUCGGGAACAGGCGAGCGGUCCGGCUCACGCCGGUUCACUGUUCGACUCCUGUCCUUGUUGUCUGUCGGCUCUCUCCCUUGGUGCCUUUCACUAGGCGUCUUGGGUGGCCGACGCGUUUACUUUGAAAAAAUUAGAGUGUUCAAAGCAGGCCUUGGUCGCCUGAAUAAUGGUGCAUGGAAUAAUGGAAUAGGACCUCGGUUCUAUUUUGUUGGUUCUCGGAGCGGAGGUAAUGAUUAAAAGGGACAAACGGGGGCAUUCGUAUUGCGGCGUUAGAGGUGAAAUUCUUGGAUCGCCGCAAGACGAGCUACUGCGAAAGCAUUUGUCAAGAAUGUUUUCA